UAUUGGUGACACAACGGAGAGCCUAUCUACGUAACUGGUUUCAAGAACCAGCCUUCAUCAAACAUGAAAUUAUGACGAUGAGGGAUGUGAGAUGAGUGAGCAGCUGACAGAUAUCACUUGUGUGAUCUGAGUCACAUGCACCAACGAGACUGACCGAAUAUCAAACGAGAGUCACCCAGGCAACUCCAGACUAACUCUGACUGGAAGUGAACAAAAGUCUCCAGGCUCCAGGUUUGAGGAUGGUCAUCAUUCAGGCCUGGUUCGCCAAAUUACCUCUGCUACACACUGCUGAAUAUUAACCUAUUAUUGACUUAGCAAGCUCACAUAUAGGCUUUCUAUGUGCUGAAUCAUACUAUGCGAACAAUAAGAACAGCAUGCAAAGUAAGAUUGAUAUUGCUUUUUUGUGGUCAUUUUCCAGAAGAUUGGACAACGAGACACCUGUCUACACACUUAUUACCCCAGAGACGUUCACUUGAUACGCUGCUCACUAAUAGUCGUGUGACAGACUGUACCUCCCCUUUCACUGAAUAGAACAAAAAUUUGAGUACCUGGCAAUAUCUCCCCUUCCACCGACGAGGACAAAAGAGGACUACCUGGCAAUAUCCUGUUUAUUGUCCCACUGAGGCUUGUUUAAUUAAAAAUAAACACCUCUUUAUGGUCCAAGGUCGCCAAUACAAUUGGUGUUCUAUUGUACAUGAAUGAAAGCCCUUUGUGUGUACUUUACGUUGUUUACUGACUUGUGUCCCCCAUCACCCUCUUCCUCUUUCUAGACAGGAAGUGGCCUAUUGUGGACAGAAGCAGAUCAGUGAGAGUGGACAGCUUGUAUUGGUCGUGUAGAAGGGCUGGACAGCCUCAGGAUCACGGGGUUCAGGGCCUGUUCCUGAGGAAGCAGUUUAUUCUUCAUGUCGUGAAAGGAAAAGGAGGAUUCUGUUAGUCGGUGAUACACACACCAGUCUUUGCCAUCUCAGGGAACCAAAAGCCCCUACUAAAGAUGGUCAGCAUUACCUCUGUCCGAUGCUUCCAGUUCUUCAGGCUACCGGUUUCCUGGUAAUGGAGGAGCCCACUGAUACCACCUUCUGGACCGGUCCUCAUAUCCAUCUCAUUAUUGCCCUGGAACCAGCUACAUCAAUGGUCCCGCCAGUAUGCUAUGGCAGCUGUGCUGUACUUUUCACAGAUGUGCCAACAUGUGGUGCAGAACAAGCAUUCUAAAUAACCAAUGCACAAGGUAGAGGAACAAAAACGGUGGGUCUGUUCCCUUUGAUGGUCUUUGUUAUAGAUAACAACAAACUUUUACAGGCUUGCCUUGCAGGUGAAUUUAUUGGACAUCAACAAAGGGAUUCAACUGAAACGCCAUUACGUGUCAGACAGGUGUUGCUGCGUCUGCAAUAUCAAUCAUUGUCUGUAGCGUGCCGCCGUGUUAAACAUCACUAAAAGGUUCUGUCUGGAGAACAAAGUUGUGCCUUGUGAGUCUUUCCUUGAAAAGUUUGUACAUUCUGAGUAGACUAGUAAAUCA